rnacentral:lncRNA from 1 species
CAUUUAUUGACUUAAAGCACACUCACCAUCAGGUUAUGGAGAUUAUGUCCACACUCAUGAUAAUUUCAUUUAUCAGUUAACACCCAAGACUGAGUACAUCUUACAAAACAGCAUGAUUCACUGUGAUGUUUUCACAAGCUGUCAAUCACUUUGAAGGACGGAGCAUCUGUGCCAGCACCUUUUCACUCCAUGUCCAAAGACAAGUUUUCUUCCUCAAUCUAUUUUCAUAUCGAAGCAGAUACAUUCUGACCAACUUCCUGGCUUAGGUGAUGACCUCUCUACUUUGUUCUGCUGAGAUUGAAACUCCACAAGUUGGUCCUUCUCAACUGUAGCC